GCUAAAUAUUUAGCCCUCUCAACCUUAUGAAAUCCUCACACCUUCCCCAUUCAACUAAAACAUUCCACUAAUCUAGUAAAGGUGAUUAAAAAAUUUAUUGGAGCAAUAACUAUAGUACCGUAAGGGAACAAUGAAAUAAUAAUGAAAAACCCUUAAGCACAAAAAAGUAGAGUUUCACUCUCGUACCUUUUGCAUCAUGAUUUAACUAGUCUAAAUAAGCAAAAAGACUUUUAGUUUACCCUCCCGAACCUAGACGAGCUAUUUUAAGGCAGCUUUAUGAGCUUACCCGUCUCUGUCGCAAAAGAGUGGGGAGACCUUAAAAUAGCGGUGACAGACCAAACGAGUCUAGCGAUAGCUGGUUGCUCAUUAAAAGGAUCUUAGUCCUGCUUAAAGCAAUAUUUAUAUUACAAAAUUAAAUCACUUUAAAGUUAUUCAAAUAAGGUACAGCCUAUUUGAAAAAGGAAACAACCUUAACUAUUGGGUUAUUUAUCCACGAAUUCCUGGUAAAGUAGGCCUAAAAGCAGCCAUCUUAAACAAAAGCGUCAAAGCUUAACCUUCUUUUCUACACAAUCCCUACAUUUUCCAUUAACCCCUUCUCCUCAAAGAGCAAUUCUAUAUCCCUAUAGAAAAUUUUAUGUUAAAACUAGUAAUAAGAAGUAAGACCUUCUCUCUAAUGCAAGCUCACAUCAGCCAGAACAAUUCACUGAUUCCUAACGCCCCUAAAAGCACUGUAAUAACCAACCAAGAAAAUAUUACUUUCCCCCAGCGUUAACCUGACACAAGAGCAUUAAAAGAAAGAUUAAAAGAAAAAGAAGGAACUCGGCAAACACUAGCCUCGCCUGUUUACCAAAAACAUCGCCUCUUGAAUAAUUAUAAGAGGUCCUGCCUGCCCAGUGACUCUGUUCAACGGCCGCGGUAUCCUAACCGUGCGAAGGUAGCGUAAUCACUUGUUCUUUAAAUGAGGACUAGUAUGAAUGGCUCCACGAAGGCUACACUGUCUCCUUUUUCUAAUCAAUGAAACUAAUCUCCCCGUGAAGAAGCGGGGAUAACAAUAUAAGACGAGAAGACCCUAUGGAGCUUCAAACAACUGAAAUACUUGCUUUAUCAUUACACUUUCCCGAAUCUUUUUUUAUACCUGAGCAUUUUAAUUUCUAGUUUUAGGUUGGGGUGACCGCGGAGUAAAACACAACCUCCAUGAUGAAACUUUUAAGCUUUUUUCCUUUUAGCCACAAGCUACUGCUUUAAGCAUCAAUAAAUUGACUUCUAUUGACCCAAUACAUUGAUCAACGAACCAAGUUACCCUAGGGAUAACAGCGCAAUCUACUUCGAGAGCUCAUAUCGACAAGUAGGUUUACGACCUCGAUGUUGGAUCAGGGUAUCCUAGUGGUGCAGCCGCUACUGACGGUUCGUUUGUUCAACGAUUAAAACCCUACGUGAUCUGAGUUCAA
rnacentral:rRNA from 1 species